AGUCUGAAACUCGAAAUUGAAAAAAUUUAGCUGCAAAUUUGAGCUUGAGAUUGAGAUUGGGAAGCCGAAGCAGUCGAAGCAGUGAAGCACAAGUCAAGUCCAUAGAAGAAGAGAUCAUGAGAUUCUUAAUUCAUCUAAUUCCAUUCCUCUCCCUGUUUCCUGCUUUAUUCUCUUCUCUCUUGGCUCUCUCCCAAACCACAUGUUCACCUCACCACACCAACGACAACGAGGACAAUUCCUCCCUUUGGCAACUCUGCCUUAUUCUCUUCUCUCUUCGCAUUGAUGGCCUGGCGCAGAAGAAAAAAAUACAAAAUUUGCUGACUUGGUGUGUGUCUUUAGUGGAAGGAAAUGAUGAAGCUAUCCUAUCAUGGAGUUUCUAUGGUCUUGCCAAUAACAAGGAUGAAAGUGAAGUUUUCUUCAGGAUCAAAAGAAGUACAAAGCUACAGAAACUGGUUGAUGCUUUGUGUACCACCGUUCCCUCGAUCCUGAAUCAUUAAUACUUUUGUUUGAGAAUGACCACAUUCACAAGUAGAAGACUGCUGGGGAGAUGGAUGAACAAAGAUGAGAGGACUUAGAAAUGGACUGCUUGGUCAAAGUGUUGGAGAAAGUGGGAAUGGAGUCACUGCUUUUGGAUGUCCCUUUUGUGUGCAAGUCAUGGUACAAGGCGGCCCUCAAUCCUUAAUGCUGGCAAUCUCUCAUUUUCCCAGACAAUGAAUGUAUGGAAGUCUGGCCUUGGGAUGUGUCUGAAUGUCCGAAUUUUCAAAAUCUUAUGGACAGAUUUGCAAGUGAGUAUCAAAUUGAUGGGGAUCGUUGCUCUGUCUCCGCUUUUCUAAAGUUUGUUAUCAAUCGGAGCAGCGGAAACGCUAUUGUGCUCAAGCUUCCCAAACGCUGCACAGUAGAGCCUUUGAAUUUGCUGCAAAUGUGCAAGUUUUCUCAUUUUCACUUGUUUAACAAAACAAGUUAAUUUUCAAAACCCUGAAGUAUACCCAGUUUAAUUUUCAAAACCUCAAGCCUUUGAAUGUGCUCAAGCUUCCUCUUCGUGCAUCAUCCUCUUCGCCCAAGAUGCCAUAGCAUCUACUGGAGAGUUUAGGUUGUACAUUUGAUACCCAAGGGUGGGCAUGGAGGAAGAGAGAUGUGGCGAUUUACAUGGAGAAAAAGACAGUUUUUGGACCUGUGCCAUUUAUUCUAUUAAAAUAAUGGUAACUUUUGAAUAAAAGUAUUAUUAACAUGAUAAUAAUCAAUUAGUUGUGA